rnacentral:rRNA from 1 species
AAUUAAUUAUUAAUUAAAAUAAUAUUAAAAUUUAAAUUUUAUUUUAGUAAAUUAUUCAAAGAAAAAAUAUUAUAAAUUUUAUAGAAAAUUAGUAAAGUUAUUGAAUUUUUAAAAUUUUUAAAUAAAUUUAAAAUAAUUAAAAGUAAAUUUAAUUAAUUGUAUCUUGGGUAUCAGAGUUUAAUAAAAAAAAAUAAAAAUUUUAUAUUUCUCGAAAAAAAUAAAGAGUUAAGAAUUUAGUAUUUAUUAAUGUUUCAAAAUUAUAAAUAAUAAAUUUUUGGGAAUGAAAAGUUAUUCGUUUUUUUUUAUAUCUAGUUUUAAGAGAAAUAAAUUUAAUUUAAUUUUUUAUUUAUAUUAUUUUAAAUUAAUAAUUAUAUUAAUUUUUUGAUUUUAAAAGUAUUAUAAUAAUGUAUUUAUAUAUAAAGGGUUAAGCUUUUAUAUAAAUUUUUAUAUUAAUUUUUUUAUUAAAUAAAAUUAUAAAAUUAAAAUUUUUUUUUAUUUAAAAUAUUAAUUUAUUAUUUAUUUUUAAAAAGUAAUAUUUAUUGUUUAAAUUAAAUAUUUAUUUUAUUAAUUUUGUUAAUUAUUAUUAUUAUGGAUCAAUGUUAUAAUUAGUAUAAUUAUAUAUAAAAUUUAAUUUUAAAAUUUAAUUUAAAAUUAAUUAAUUAGGCAAAAUUAUAAUUAUUGCAUAAAAAUUUAAUUAUUUCACAUGUUUAACAAAAACAUGUCUUUUAGUUAAUAAAUUUAAAGUCUGAUCUGCCCACUGAAAAAUUUUUUAAAGGGCUGCAGAAUUUUAACUGUACGAAGGUAGCAUAAUAAAUUGUUUUUUAAUUGAAAACUAGAAUGAAUGAUUUCAUGAGAAUAAAACUGUAUAUAUUUUAAAUUUAAAAUUUAUUUUUUUUGUUAAAAAACAAAAAUAUAAUAAAAAGACGAGAAGACCCUUUAGAUUUUUAUUUUUUUUAAUUUUUAAUAAAUAAAUGUAUAUUAUUAUUUAAUUUAAAAAAAAUUUAAUUGGGGUGAUUUAUAAAUUUUUAAACUUUAAUUUGUUAAGAUAAAUAAUUUAAUUAAUAAGUAAAAUUUUAAAUUUAAAUAAAUAUUAAUGAUUUAGUUUUAUGGAUUAAAAGAUUAAAUUACCUAAGGGAUAACAGCGUUAUUUAAAUUUUUAGUUCAUAUGGAAAUUUGAGAUUGCGACCUCGAUGUUGGAUUAAGAUAAAUUAAAAAUGCAGAAGUUUUAAAAUUUAGUCUGUUCGACUAUUGAAAUCUUACAUGAUCUGAGUUCAAACCGGUGUGAGCCAGGUUGGUUUCUAUCUUUUAUAAAAAUUUAAAUUUUUUAGUACGAAAGGAUUAAAAAUUUGAAAUAAUAAAUUUUUGAUUUAUAAUGAAUUUUAAUAA